rnacentral:tRNA from 1 species
GCGGAAGUAGUUCAGUGGUAGAACACCACCUUGCAAGGUGGGGGUCGCGAGUUCGAACUCGUCUUCCGCUCCA